AGUGAACGCUGGCGGCAGGCCUAACACAUGCAAGUCGAACGGCAGCACAAGAGAGCUUGCUCUCUGGGUGGCGAGUGGCGGACGGGUGAGGAAUGCAUCGGAAUCUGCCCAUUUGUGGGGGAUAACCUCGGGAAACCGGGACUAAUACCGCAUACGACCUACGGGUGAAAGCAGGGGAUCUUCGGACCUUGCGCAGAUGGAUGAGCCGAUGCCGGAUUAGCUAGUUGGAGGGGUAAAGGCCCACCAAGGCGACGAUCCGUAGCUGGUCUGAGAGGAUGAUCAGCCACACUGGGACUUGGGACCGGCCCCAACCCCUACGGGAGGCAGCAGUGGGGAAUAUUGGACAAUGGGCGCAAGCCUGAUCCAGCCAUGCCGCGUGUGUGAAGAAGGCCUUCGGGUUGUAAAGCACUUUUGUUGGGAAAGAAAAGCAGCCGGUUAAUACCCGGUUGUCAUGACGGUACCCAAAGAAUAAGCACCGGCUAACUUCGUG
rnacentral:rRNA from 1 species